UACGUAGGAGGCGAGCGUUGUCCGGAGUUACUGGGCGUAAAGGGUGCGCAGGUGGCCGUGCGCGUGGGAAGUGAAAUCGCCUGGCUUAACUGGGCGGGGGCUUUCCAGACGGCGCGGCUUGAGCCACAGAGGGGGGCGUGGAAUUCCGGGUGGAGCGGUGAAAUGCGUAGAGAUCCGGAGGAACACCGACGGCGUAGGCAGCGCCCUGGCUGUGAAUAAAGCUGACACUGAGGCACGAAAGCUGGGGGAGCAAACAGG
rnacentral:rRNA from 1 species